AUUUAGGAUCUAGUAAAAUUUCAAACUUCGCUGUCUCCGUCGAAUAAUGAAAAUUCAUUGGUCGGAAAGAGUGACAAACAUAGAAGUUGUGCAAGAGCUGAAAUAACAAGAAUUGAAUACAUGUUGACUCAACAGCAACUAAAGUGGUUAGUUCAUGUCGCAAGAAUGGACGACAGACGUUUGCCAAAACAAGUGCUAUACGGUCAGUUGUUAGAUGCACCAAGACAAGCUGGUGGUCAAUAGUUGAGGUUCAAAGACACUUUAAGACACAAUCUACUGAAUGUCGAUAUUGAUCACAAAAAUUGAGAUAUGAUAGCAUGUGACCGUUCAAUGUAGAAGAAAAAUAUGAGAUUAUGUUUAGAUCACGAGGAAGGAAGAAUUGACAAAAUUGAAGAAAAGAGACUAAUUCUGCACAAUUAUAGACCACAAAACUGGACUACUGGUACAAAAAACGUUUAAAUAUCUGUCAUUGAGUAUGUUGUUCCAGAAUUGGACUCUUUGGACAUGAUUGUGGUCAUCAAAGACAAAUUGUAAACAACUGCUGAAUGGAAUUCGUGAACUCAUUAUAUUGAGUAGCAAAAAAGAAGAGAAGAAGAAAACAAGAAACAGUGAUAAAUUAGGAGGAUUGUGGCUUGGAUGGUCGGCCAUUCCUGUCGAUGUCAUAAGGGAUGUCAGUCAUCUUGUUACCGAUAUCGGUCUCGCACAUCUUUUUGCCAAAUCUCUUCUGAGCGACGAAUCAAUAGAGAAGGAAUUUAGGAGCAUUUUCCAAUCAAGAGAACCAGUCUUUACUAUCAUUAAGUUAUGGAUCGACAUGCAAGAGGACAAAGCUACGUUGGAUAAACUUUUUCGUUCUCUACACACUCAUGAUUUAUUCCUUUUACUGCAAGGAAAACUAGAUAAGCGCAUGCAAACUCAAAAGCCUCGGAAAGUUGGUAUAGCUCGCUUUACGCCUGCUGAGUUAUUUCGUGUUGUGAAUGAUAACGCGGCAUCUCGGUAUCUGGAAUUAGGGCUCGAAAUCGGUCUAACGUUUGAUCAAGUGAAUAUCGCAGCUGAAGGUCACCCAUACUCUGGCAAACUCCUAGCUCUCUACAUGACAAAAUGCAAAGAAGUUGGAGA